UUAUAUAUUUACAGAACAUAUACAGUGUGGGAAGGGGAACUGGAAGCUUAUUCCAUGGCUUCUUGCAAUGGGCCUGCUCCCUGCCCUGGAAGAAUGCUGGAUAUUUUCAGAAAUAAGAA
rnacentral:sRNA from 1 species